CUAAAGUAAGAUGAAGAGAGAUCGGAUGUAAACCGAGAUGAGCAUUCCAUUUAAUAGCAGUUUUGAACUAAGUUAAUUAGCAGAUAACACUGGAGAAGCAGAUCGAUCUUGAGCCGAUGUGAGCUGAAAGGACUUUUAUCUCAAAUAAUAAUGUGCUGCCACGUGUUCAGAUGGUGUUAAGAUCGAAUAAUAUGCAGCAAUAUAUGUUAAUAUCUAUAUUUGGAUAAUUAUAAUGCAGGUGGAUCACCAUA
rnacentral:lncRNA from 1 species